AAUAUUGGACAAUGGGCGAAAGCCUGAUCCAGCCAUGCCGCGUGAGUGAUGAAGGCCCUAGGGUUGUAAAGCUCUUUCAACGGUGAAGAUAAUGACGGUAACCGUAGAAGAAGCCCCGGCUAACUUCGUGCCAGCAGCCGCGGUAAUACGAAGGGGGCUAGCGUUGUUCGGAAUUACUGGGCGUAAAGCGCACGUAGGCGGAUACUUAAGUUAGGGGUGAAAUCCCAGGGCUCAACCCUGGAACUGCCUAUAAUACUGGGUAUCUUGAGUUCGAGAGAGGUGAGUGGAAUUCCGAGUGUAGAGGUGAAAUUCGUAGAUAUUCGGAGGAACACCAGUGGCGAAGGCGGCUCACUGGCUCGAUACUGACGCUGAGGUGCGAAAGCGUGGGGAGCAAACAGG
rnacentral:rRNA from 1 species